rnacentral:sRNA from 1 species
CUUUUUUGCUAUCUGCGAUAUAAACGAUUCGAACCUGCGGCAGGUUCGUGUCGAACGCAGUGAGACAACGGAGCCGCUUGCGGCGACGGCCCGAAGGGCGAGCGAAGCGAGUCUUCCUGCACGACCCACCA